AAGACUAUACUUUCAGGGAUCAUUUCUAUAGUUUGUUACUAAAGAAGUUUCUCUGAACGUGUAGAGAAAAAUAAAAAAAAAGAAAAGGAAUGAAUGGUGGUGUUUUAGCUGGGUUCUUUAUGCCAAAAGAGCCUGAAACAUACUAGUUCUGGAUUUU
ensembl:snoRNA U3 Small nucleolar RNA U3